UACAGAGGUGGCAAGCGUUGUUCGGAAUUACUGGGCGUAAAGGGCGCGUAGGCGGCCUUCUAAGUCGGACGUGAAAUCCCCCAGGCUUAACUUGGGAACUGCGUCCGAUACUGGAGGGCUCGAGUGCGGGAGAGGGAUGUGGAAUUCCAGGUGUAGCGGUGAAAUGCGCAGAUAUCAGGAAGAACACCCGUGGCGAAGGCGGUUCUCUGGGACGUGACUGACGCUGAGACGCGAAAGCGUGGGGAGCAAACAGG
rnacentral:rRNA from 1 species